rnacentral:misc_RNA from 1 species
AAGACUAUAGACCUGCGGAGUACCUGCGGAGGGAUCAUUAUCGUAUUGUAACAAUUGGGGGGGCCACCGUGGGCUGUCGCUGACCCUUUGAAAGGGGGGUCGUGCACGCCCCCAUAGUGUCAUCCUCAUACAAUCCAACUCACCUCUGUGCAUUACCGCGUGGGUUCCUUUCUGGGUCGAGUCAGACUGGCUCAGAAAAAAGGGGCUUGCGUUUUCCAUACAAAUACCCUUAUAAAUCCA